rnacentral:rRNA from 1 species
ACCGUACUCCUACGGGAGGCAGCAGUGGGGAAUCUUAGACAGUGGGGGAAACCCUGAUCUAGCCAUGCCGCGUGAUCGAUGAAGGCCUUAGGGUUGUAAAGAUCUUUCAGAUGGGAAGAUAAUGACGGCACCAUCAGAAGAAGCCCCGGCUAACUCCGUGCCAGCAGCCGCGGUAAUACGGAGGGGGCUAGCGUUAUUCGGAAUUACUGGGCGUAAAGCGCACGUAGGCGGACUGAAAAGUCAGAGGUGAAAUCCCAGGGCUCAACCUUGGAACUGCCUUUGAAACUCUCAGUCUUGAGGUCGAGAGAGGUGAGUGGAAUUCCGAGUGUAGAGGUGAAAUUCGUAGAUAUUCGGAGGAACACCAGUGGCGAAGGCGGCUCACUGGCUCGAUACUGACGCUGAGGUGCGAAAGCGUGGGGAGCAAACAGGAUUAGAAACCCGUGUAGUCCUUGAC